rnacentral:tRNA from 1 species
UCCGCGGUAGCUCAAUGGUAGAGCGAGUGGCUGUUAACCACUAUGUUGCAGGUUCGAGUCCUGCCCGCGGAGCCA